GAUGAAGAACGUAGCGAAAUGCGAUAAGUAAUGUGAAUUGAAGAAUUCAGUGAAUCAUCGAAUCUUUGAACGCACAUUGCGCCCGCCAGUAUUCUGGCGGGCAUGCCUGUUCGAGCGUCAUUUCAACCAUCAAGCCCCAGGCUUGUGUUGGGGACCUGCGGCUGCCGCAGGCCCUGAAAACCAGUGGCGGGCUCGCUGUCACACCGGGCGUAGUAGAUUUUAUCUCGCUCUGGGCGUGCUGCGGGUUCCGGCCGUUAAAAAACCCUUUUAACCCAAGGUUGACCUCGGAUCAGGUAGGAAUACCCGCUGAACUUAAGCAUAUCAAUAAGCGGAGGA
rnacentral:misc_RNA from 1 species